GAUUUUCUGCUCCGGUUGGUGAGCGCGCCUGCGCGUUGACGGCGAUUUUGCGUUCUGAGGCUGCAGCGUCGGCAUCUUGAGCUGCCGGUUCGCGAGUUCGAGGCCAGGUUCCGCGUGUCUUGGGUUCGCACCCCGGACGCGAUGCUAUUCGACAAGGUGAAAGCGUUCUCGGUGCAGUUGGACGGCGCGACCGCGGGCGUCGAGCCCGUGUUUAGCGGCGGCCAGGCCGUGGCGGGCCGGGUGCUGCUGGAGCUGGCAAGCGCCGCGCGUGUGGGUGCCCUGAGGCUGCGCGCGCGGGGCCGCGCCCACGUGCACUGGACCGAGUCGCGCAGCGCGGGCUCGAGCACGGCUUACACGCAGAGCUACAGUGAACGCGUGGAGGUCGUGAGCCACCGCGCCACGCUCCUGGCGCCAGAUACCGGGGAGACCACGACGCUGCCUCCUGGGCGCCAUGAGUUCCUGUUCAGCUUCCAGCUGCCCCCGUAAGUCCUCUGGGGUGCAGGGUUGCCCUAAGCCUGCAGCCCCUUCCAGAUUGGUACCUCCAAUACUGGAUAUCUGGGCACCUC
rnacentral:sRNA from 1 species